CAGGGUGGCCUCGAACUCAGAGAUCCCCUAAACUUGGCCUCCAGAGUACUGAGAUUAAAGUCAUGUGCCACUUCGGAUUUUGAGACAGGGAGCUUGAAACCAGCCACAAUAGAAGUAUUUUCACUGAGGAAAUUGGCAAGUGCUACACAUCAGGCCUGUGUUCUGUCAUCGCCUGUCUUCGUUGAGCUGUGCCUCCAUUUGUCAAUGUGUGGUUGAACUGAAAUCACAGCACAUGAGAAGUGUUGAAGAUGAAAUGUUAAGACAUUGACGUGCAAUGCCCUUGCCUUUUCCACCAGAGAGGGAUAGAAGACUACAAGCAGGUGAUGGAGAGAUGGCUCAGAGGGUAAAGUGUUCACCAUGCAAGCAUGGGGACUUCUGAGUAGACCACCAGCACCCACAGAAACAACCAGGCACAGUGGUGUGCCUAUGUAAUUCCAGCACCGGAGACCCAGACAGGAGGGUCCUUGGGGUUUGCUAGCAGUGAUCCUAGCAGGAUCAGUGAACUCCAGCAUCAGCAAGAGACCCUGCUUCAAAAAAUAUGGUGGAGAACAACUGAGCAAGGUGUCUAACAUUAACUCAUUGACCUCUGGCCUCUGUAUGGACUCACA